CCUCAACAAGUUGCCCGGCAGGUGGUGGAUAUAUAAUGAAUCCUUAUCUUUAUAAACAAAGACAUGUGUACUCAGCAUGCAGCAAGGCAGCAAUGAAGACAUUUUUGGCCACAUCCGCUGCCAGCUGUCUAUUCCGCCGUAGAUGUCCUGAACCUGCCAGUCCUGCUGCUCAGGAACGAGACGAGCAGCUGAGAAAAGACCAGUGCGUGAGGAAAAAGCGGGAAAACGAGGACUUUUUGAAUGCUACGGUGAUUUACUGGUGCACGCUGAGUUGCUACGUAAUCCUGCACGAAACGCAAGAGGUGGCAUCGUUCGAAACAAGUGCUCCAGAUGGAAUGGGCUGCAACCAAAACGGAGAUUGUAAGGAAUGCCAAAGAGGAAUGUGUAAAUUUAUCGUGUGAAACAUGCCCCUGAGUUUCAGGAACCUUCGGAAUAUUGCCCGGUGCUGCGAUGAUUUGGAUAAAAUAAACACAUAUUGAUGGUGA